GACGUAGGGCGCGAGCGUUGUCCGGAUUUAUUGGGCGUAAAGAGCUCGUAGGCGGCUUGUCGCGUCGACCGUGAAAACUUGGGGCUCAACCCCAAGCCUGCGGUCGAUACGGGCAGGCUCGAGUUCGGUAGGGGAGACUGGAAUUCCUGGUGUAGCGGUGAAAUGCGCAGAUAUCAGGAGGAACACCGGUGGCGAAGGCGGUUCUCUGGGCCGAUACUGACGCUGAGGAGCGAAAGCGUGGGGAGCGAACAGG
rnacentral:rRNA from 1 species